rnacentral:rRNA from 1 species
GACGAACCGAGCGAACGUUAUUCGGAAUCACUGGGCUUAAAGGGCGCGUAGGCGGCGGCCAAGUCAGGGUGAAAGCCCCCAGCUCAACUGGGGAAGUGCCUUUGAUACUGGUCAUCUCGAGGGAGAUAGGGGCGUGCGGAACUUCCGGUGGAGCGGUGAAAUGCGUAGAUAUCGGAAGGAACACCGGUGGCGAAAGCGGCGCGCUGGAUCUCUUCUGACGCUGAGGCGCGAAAGCCAGGGGAGCGAACGGG